UUGUAAACUCAGGUUAGGGUUUCAAGUUGGGAUAUGGCUUCAAAACAGGGUUUGGAAUAAGGGGUAGGGUUUUAAAUCACAAUUUAAAAUCAGGGUUAGGUUUCAAACAAGGGAGGGAGUUUCGAACAAGGGUUGAAAAUUUGGGUUGAGUUUUUGCAAACUGGGCUUUAAAACUAGGGGUAGGGUUGUAAACUCAGGUUAGGGUUUCAAGUUGGGAUAUAGCUUCAAAACAGGGUUUGAAAUAAGGGGUAGGGUUUUAAAUCACAAUUUAAAAUCAGGGUUAGGUUUCAAACAAGGGAGGGAGUUUCGAACAAGGGUUGAAAAUUUGGGUUGAGUUUUUGCAAACUGGGCUUUAAAACUAGGGGUAGGGUUGUAAACUCAGGUUAGGGUUUCAAGUUGGGAUAUGGCUUCAAAACAGGGUUUGAAAUAAGGGGUUGGGUUUUAAAUCACAAUUUAAAAUCAGGGUUAGGUUUCAAACAAGGGAGGGAGUUUCGAACAAGGGUUGAAAAUUUGGGUUGAGUUUUUGCAAACUGGGCUUUAAAACUAGGGGUAGGGUUGUAAACUCAGGUUAGGGUUUCAAGUUGGGAUAUGGCUUCAAAACAGGGUUUGAAAUAAGGGGUAGGGUUUUAAAUCACAAUUUUAAAUCAGGGUUAGGUUUCAAACAAGGGAGGGAGUUUCGAACAAGGGUUGAAAGUUUGGGUUGAGUUUUUACAAACGGCUUUAAAACUAGGGGUAGGGUUGUAAACUCAGGUUAGGGUUUUAAGCUUAGGUUUAAAACUAUUAGGGUUUCAAAUUAGGGCUGUAGACGAGGGUUAGGUUUUCAAAUUAGUAUUUGUUGAGACUCGGGUUAGGGUUUUAAGUAGGGUCUAAAAAUAGGGUUGGUGUUUUUAACUCGGGUUAGGGUUUCAAAUGAGAGUUUUAAACAAGGGUCAGGAAUUCAAAACGGGUUUUGAAACAAUGGUGAAGGUUUCAAAUCAGGAUUUUAAAUUAGGGUUACGGUUUCAAACUAGUGUUAGUGUUCUAAAGUAGGUUCUUAAAAUAAUGUUCGGGUUUCGACGUUGGGUUUAAAACUUAGGGUUAGGGUUUCAAAUUUACUGACGGCACAUCUGCGGGUAGUACUUUUUCGGGCACCAAUUAGGUCCGUUUUGGCCAGUUACAAGAGGGUGUGCACACAACGUUAUGUUAGUUUAAUUGGAAUUUGAAUUCCCCACUCUAUGCUGUAAAAAUUAUUUUAUUCAUAUUUCUUUACAUUCCAAAAAUAUGGCAAGUCAA